UUUUUACUAAUACACUCUACCAAAUGACCCCUUAAUGUACUGAUGAUGGGGAUAAAACUAAUGCAGUUUCAUUUGACAGCUAAGGCAUCUUUACGUCAAUGUAACUCCAGCAAAUGAAUAUUAUUUCAUGUUAAUUUAAUAUGUGCACACAUCCAAGUGUUACUGCACACAUCCAAGUGUUACAAUCAAGGAUUGUGAACAGAGGAAACCGUGAUCGUGCACCCUACUACCAGACUAACACAGAAUUAAAUUUGCUCAACCAAGGGGUAAUUCCUCAUUAAUCAAUAUCUGUCCAUCGCGCUUAAUAAAUGUUGCAAGUGUCUAAAGUGAAAUGAA
rnacentral:lncRNA from 1 species